GGGGAAUAUUGCACAAUGGGCGCAAGCCUGAUGCAGCAACGCCGCGUGAAGGAAGACGGUUUUCGGAUUGUAAACUUCUGUUCUUAGUGAAGAAUAAUGACGGUAGCUAAGGAGCAAGCCACGGCUAACUACGUGCCAGCAGCCGCGGUAAUACGUAGGUGGCAAGCGUUGUCCGGAAUUACUGGGUGUAAAGGGAGCGCAGGCGGGUGAUCAAGUCAGCUGUGAAAACUACGGGCUUAACCCGUAGACUGCAUUUGAAACUGUUGUUCUUGAGUGAGGUAGAGGUAAGCGGAAUUCCUGGUGUAGCGGUGAAAUGCGUAGAGAUCAGGAGGAACAUCGGUGGCGAAGGCGGCUUACUGGGCCUUUACUGACGCUGAGGCUCGAAAGCGUGGGGAGCAAACAGGAUUAGAUACCCUGGUAGUCCACACCGUAAACGAUGAUUACUAGGUGUUGGAGGAUUGACCCCUUCAGUGCCGCAGUUAACACAAUAAGUAAUCCACCUGGGGAGUACGACCGCAAGGUUGAAACUCAAAGGAAUUGACGGGGGCCCGCACAAGCAGUGGAGUAUGUGGUUUAAUUCGACGCAACGCGAAGAACCUUACCAAGUCUUGACAUCCUGCGACGAUGCUAGAAAUAGUAUUUUCCUUCGGGACGCAGAGACAGGUGGUGCAUGGUUGUCGUCAGCUCGUGUCGUGAGAUGUUGGGUUAAGUCCCGCAACGAGCGCAACCCUUAUGGUCAGUUACUACGCAAGAGGACUCUGGCCAGACUGCCGUUGACAAAACGGAGGAAGGUGGGGAUGACGUCAAAUCAUCAUGCCCUUUAUGACUUGGGCUACACACGUACUACAAUGGCGUUAAACAAAGAGAAGCAAGACCGCGAGGUGGAGCAAAACUCAGAAACAACGUCCCAGUUCGGACUGCAGGCUGCAACUCGCCUGCACGAAGUCGGAAUUGCUAGUAAUCGUGGAUCAGCAUGCCACGGUGAAUACGUUCCCG
rnacentral:rRNA from 1 species